rnacentral:rRNA from 3 species
CCUGGCGGCCUUAGCGCGGUGGUCCCACCUGACCCCAUGCCGAACUCAGAAGUGAAACGCCGUAGCGCCGAUGGUAGUGUGG